AUACCAGUUAGCUGCCUAUUGUAAGGAUUUGCUUUUAGCAAAAGCAAGAAGCAAGAGAUCCUGCAUACCAACAUUCCACACAGAACUCUCAGAAGCUAGGGAACUGAAACUCAGAGACAGUUGCUGGACAGAGUUGGUGGACUCCUUUGGAAGAGGGAGAGGCUGCUUUUCUCUAGUAGUCAGUAAAGCCCAGAGGGUUUCUGUCUGGUAUCUCUGGGGUGGACCCAGAGAGCCAGUGGUUCCCUCUUCUUUGGCUUUCUUGAUAUUCUGCCUGUUCUUGCUGCUGCUGCUACAGAGAAGUGGAUUUCAACAAUUUCUUCCUCUGGAUGUGGAUAGUGUUUGUUCUCAUCCCUCAGAAUUGUCCAGGGUCAUUGCAUUGCUGCUAGAAGAGAAGUCUAUUACAUUUGAUUGUGCCACAGUAAAGGCAUUUAUUAAGAUGGCAUAAUAAGAACAGUACCUCCAAAGCUUCCCUUUUCCCAUCUUCCUCCUUCCUGGUCUGAGGUAUGCUCUCCCACAAAUAUACAAAAUAUCCUUGGGUAAAAUGGGCACAAACUACAAUGACAGUGAGGUAGAGAAUAUAAGUGGCCAAUAUGACCCAUUACUGCUGAGCCCAGAUGUUCUUUCCUUCCUACAACUACCCGGCUCUGGGACCACUUCCUCUUUGGAGCUUUCUCUUCUCCCAAAGAGACAUGCUGCUCUGCCCUAUCUUAAAUCUUCUUGGCUAUGCUGAUGCACCUAGCCUAUGUGUCCUGGAUAGACAGCAUGACUUAGUGGAAAGAAUCCGGGCUUCUAAACCAGGAAGACCUUGGCUCCAGUCCCAGUUCUGACAAAGACUGGCUAUGUGACCUGAGGCAAGUCACUUAAUCUUUUAGUACUCCUGAUAACUCUUUUAAGAUUCUAAAUUACAGUGGCCCAUCAUGGUCAGUUCAUCAACAUGGAAUUUCUGCUAGUGUUUUUAAUAAAUUCCUUUUCAUAAAAAAAAAAAGACUAAAC
rnacentral:lncRNA from 1 species